rnacentral:rRNA from 1 species
GGCUUAUUGUAAAUUUAUAUUAAGUUUUACCUGCUCAAUGAUAUUUAAUAUUAAAUAGCCGCAGUAUUUUGACUGUGCAAAGGUAGCAUAAUCAUUUGUCUUUUAAUUGAAGACUUGUAUGAAUGGUUUGAUGAAAUACCAACUUUCUUUACAUAAAUUUGAUUAAUUUAAUUUUUUAGUUAAAAAGCUAAAAUGUUUUUAUAGGACGAGAAGACCCUAUAGAAUUUUAUUUUUUUAUAAUUAAUUGAUUUUUUGGUUAUUAUUAAUUUUUUAUUUAUAAGGAAAUUUUGUUGGGGUGACAGGGAAAUUUUUUUAACUUUCUUUAUUAUUUUUUAUUGAUUUAUAUAUUUUUGAUCCUAUUUUAUGGAUAAUAAGAUUAAAUUACCUUAGGGAUAACAGCGUAAUUCUUUUGGAGAGUUCAUAUCGAUAAAAGAGAUUGCGACCUCGAUGUUGGAUUAAAAUUAGUAUUAGGUGUAGGUGCUUAUUAUACUAGGUCUGUUCGACCUUUAAUUUUUUACA